UACGUAGGGGGCAAGCGUUGUCCGGAAUCAUUGGGCGUAAAGAGCGUGUAGGCGGCCAUACAGGUCAGCUGUGAAAACUCGAGGCUCAACCUCGAGACGCCGGUGGAAACCGUAAAGCUAGAGUCCGGAAGAGGAGAGUGGAAUUCCUGGUGUAGCGGUGAAAUGCGCAGAUAUCAGGAGGAACACCGGUGGCGAAGGCGGUGGUCUGGGCCGGCACUGACGCUGAGGAGCGAAAGCGUGGGGAGCGAACAGG
rnacentral:rRNA from 1 species